rnacentral:tRNA from 1 species
GUAGGGGAACCUGCGGCUGGAUCACCUCCUUAAUCGAAGAUCUCAGCUUCUUCAUAAGCUCCCACACGAAUUGCUUGAUUCACUGGUUAGACGAUUGGGUCUGUAGCUCAGUUGGUUAGAGCGCACCCCUGAUAAGGGUGAGGUCGGCAGUUCGAAUCUGCCCAGACCCACCAAUUGUUGGUGUGCUGCGUGAUCCGAUACGGGGCCAUAGCUCAGCUGGGAGAGCGCCUGCUUUGCACGCAGGAGGUCAGGAGUUCGAUCCUCCUUGGCUCCACCAUCUAAAACAAUCGUCGAAAGCUCAGAAAUGAAUGUUCGUGGAUGAACAUUGAUUUCUGGUCUUUGCACCAGAACUGUUCUUUAAAAAUUCGGGUAUGUGAUAGAAGUAAGACUGAAUGAUCUCUUUCACUGGUGAUCAUUCAAGUCAAGGUAAAAUUUGCGAGUUCAAGCGCGAAUUUUCGGCGAAUGUCGUCUUCACAGUAUAACCAGAUUGCUUGGGGUUAUAUGGUCAAGUGAAGAAGCGCAUGCGAAUGUCGU